GACCGGCGCACGGGUGCGUAACGCGUAUGCAACCUACCUUUUACAGGGGAAUAGCCCAGAGAAAUUUGGAUUAAUGCCCCAUAGUAUGUAUGAAUCGCAUGGUUUAUACAUUAAAGUUCCAACGGUAAAAGAUGAGCAUGCGUCCCAUUAGUUAGUUGGUAAGGUAACGGCUUACCAAGACGAUGAUGGGUAGGGGUCCUGAGAGGGAGAUCCCCCACACUGGUACUGAGACACGGACCAGACUCCUACGGGAGGCAGCAGUGAGGAAUAUUGGACAAUGGGCGCAAGCCUGAUCCAGCCAUGCCGCGUGCAGGAAGAAGCAUCUAUGGUGUGUAAACUGCUUUUGUACGGGAAGAAACACUCCUUCGUGAAGGAGCUUGACGGUACCGUAAGAAUAAGGAUCGGCUAACUCCGUGCCAGCAGCCGCGGUAAUACGGAGGAUCCAAGCGUUAUCCGGAAUCAUUGGGUUUAAAGGGUCCGUAGGCGGUUUGAUAAGUCAGUGGUGAAAGCCCAUCGCUCAACGAUGGAACGGCCAUUGAUACUGUCAGACUUGAAUUACUAGGAAGUAACUAGAAUAUGUAGUGUAGCGGUGAAAUGCUUAGAUAUUACAUGGAAUACCAAUUGCGAAGGCAGGCUACUACUAGUGGAUUGACGCUGAUGGACGAAAGCGUGGGGAGCGAACAGGACUAGAUACCCUGGUAGUCCACGCCGUANACGAUGGAUACUAGCUGUUGGGCGCAAGUUCAGUGGCUAAGCGAAAGUGAUAAGUAUCCCACCUGGGGAGUACGUUCGCAAGAAUGAAACUCAAAGGAAUUGACGGGGGCCCGCACAAGCGNUGGAGCAUGUGGUUUAAUUCGA
rnacentral:rRNA from 1 species